UACGGAGGGUGCAAGCGUUAUCCGGAUUUACUGGGUUUAAAGGGUGCGUAGGCGGGCCAUUAAGUCAGUGGUGAAAGCUCCGAGCUUAACUCGGAAACUGCCAUUGAUACUAUUGGUCUUGAAUUCGGUCGAGGUUGGCGGAAUGUGUCGUGUAGCGGUGAAAUGCUUAGAUAUGACACAGAACACCGAUUGCGAAGGCAGCUAGCUAGACCGACAUUGACGCUGAGGCACGAAAAGCGUGGGGGAUCAAACAGG
rnacentral:rRNA from 1 species